rnacentral:rRNA from 1 species
AGCGAACGCUGGCGGCGUGCCUAACACAUGCAAGUCGAACGUGAACGGCUUCGGCCUAGUAAAGUGGCGUACGGGUGAGUAACGCGUAGGUAAUCUACCCCAGAGUCUGGAAUAACCGACCGAAAGGUUGGCUAAUACUGGAUAGAGCGACGGAAUCCGUAAUUGGGUUUUCGGAAAGGAGCAGCAAUGCCCUCGCUUUGGGAUGAGCCUGCGUCUCAUUAGCUAGUUGGUAAGGUAAGGCUUACCAAGGCUUUGAUGGGUAACUGGUCUGAGAGGAUGAUCAGUCACACUGGAACUGAAACACGGUCCAGACUCCUACGGGAGGCAGCAGUGGGGAAUCUUGCGCAAUGGACGAAAGUCUGACGCAGCAACGCCGCGUGAGUGAAGAAGGCCUGGU